rnacentral:rRNA from 1 species
UCAAGUUAUUAAGGGUGCAGGGCGGAUGCCUUGGCACUAGGAGCCGAUGAAGGACGUGAUAAGCUGCGAUAAGCUUCGGGGAGUUGCACGUAAACUUUGAUCCGAAGAUUUCCGAAUGAGGAAACUCACUUAGAGUAAUGUCUAAGUAUCAUUAAGUGAAUACAUAGCUUAAUGAGGGGAACUCAGGGAACUGAAACAUCUAAGUACCUGAAGGAAGAGAAAGAAAUUCGAUUCCGUAAGUAGCGGCGAGCGAACGCGGAUUAGCCCAAACCAAUAAAGUUUUCUUUAUUGGGGUUGCGGACAUAUCAUAACGAAGAGGUAUCGUAAUUGAAGAGGUUUGGAAAGACCCACCACAGAAGGUAAUAGUCCUGUAUGUUAAACGAGAAGACUUUAGAUAUGAUCCAGAGUACCACGGGACACGUGAAACCCUGUGGGAAGCAGGAGGGACCACCCUCCAAGGCUAAAUACUACCUAGUGACCGAUAGCGUAUAGUACCGUGAGGGAAAGGUGAAAAGAACCCCGGGAGGGGAGUGAAAUAGAACCUGAAACCCUGCACUUACAAGCUGUGGAAGCACAUUUCUUGUGUGACCGCGUACUUUUUGUAGAACGGGCCAACGAGUUACGUUAAGUAGCAAGGUUAAGCACUUAAGGUGCGGAGCCGUAGCGAAAGCGAGUUUUAACUGAGCGUUCAGUUACUUGACGUAGACCCGAAACCGGGCGACCUACCCAUGAGCAGGAUGAAGCGAAAGUAAAAUUUCGUGGAGGUCCGAACCCACGAGCGUUGAAAAGCUCGGGGAUGACUUGUGGGUAGCGGUGAAAUUCCAAUCGAGCCCGGAGAUAGCUGGUUCUCCCCGAAAUAGCUUUAGGGCUAGCCUCAAGGUGAGAGAUACGGAGGUAGAGCACUGAAUGUCCUAGGGGGUAUUGCACCUACCGAAGACUAUCAAACUCCGAAUGCCGUCAUCUUAUACUUGGGAGUCAGACUGUGGGUGAUAAGAUUCAUAGUCGAAAGGGCAACAGCCCAGAUCGUCAGCUAAGGUCCCUAAAUGUAAGUUAAGUGGUAAAGGAUGUGGGAUUGCACAGACAACCAGGAUGUUGGCUUAGAAGCAGCCACUCAUUCAAAGAGUGCGUAAUAGCUCACUGGUCGAGUGAUCCUGCGCCGAAGAUUUCCGGGGCUAAAACUUACUACCGAAGCUACGGCAUCAGUAAUGAUGGGUAGGGGAGCUUCCCAUACGGGUUGAAGCAUGACCGUAAGGACAUGUGGACAGUAUGGGAGUGAGAAUGUUGGCAUGAGUAGCGAGAUGUGGGUGAGAAUCCCACAGGCCGUAAACCCAAGGUUUCCAGGGGAAGGUUCGUCCGCCCUGGGUUAGUCGGGACCUAAGCUGAGGCCGAAAGGCGUAGGUGAUGGACAACAGGUUGAUAUUCCUGUACUACCGAUAACCGUUUGAGAGAAGGGAUGACACAGUAGGAUAAGCUAAGCACACUGUUGGUUAUGUGUGCCCAAGCAUUGAGGCAGUCAAAGUAGGCAAAUCCGCUUUGAUAAUGCUGGGAUGUGAUGGGGAGCGAAAUUUAGUAGCGAAGUAGCUGAUUUCACACUGUCAAGAAAAGUCUCUAUCGAGGUUAAAGGUACCCGUACCGCAAACCGACACAGGUGGGUGAGGAGAGUAUCCUAAGGCCAGCGAGAGAACUGUUGUUAAGGAACUCGGCAAAAUGACCCCGUAACUUAGGGAUAAGGGGUGCCACCAUCAGGUGGCCGCAGAGAAUAGGCCCAAGCGACUGUUUACCAAAAACAUAGGUUUCUGCUAAGUCGCAAGACGAUGUAUAGGAGCUGACGCCUGCCCGGUGCUGGAAGGUUAAGGGGAUCUGUUAGAGCAAUCGAAGCAGUGAACUUAAGCCCCAGUAAACGGCGGCCGUAACUAUAACGGUCCUAAGGUAGCGAAAUUCCUUGUCGGGUAAGUUCCGACCCGCACGAAAGGCGUAACGAUUUGGGCACUGUCUCAACAACAGACUCGGUGAAAUUGUAAUUCCGGUGAAGAUGCCGGAUACCUGCGACAGGACGGAAAGACCCCAUGGAGCUUUACUGUAGCUUGACAUUGGGUCUUGGUACUACAUGUACAGGAUAGGUGGGAGGCUUUGAAACCAGGACGCCAGUUUUGGCGGAGCCAUCCUUGGGAUACCACCCUUGUAGUACUGGGACUCUAACCAUAGGCCAUGAAUCUGGUCUUGGGACACUGUCAGGUGGGCAGUUUGACUGGGGCGGUCGCCUCCCAAAAGGUAACGGAGGCGCUCAAAGGUUCUCUCAGUACGGUCGGAAAUCGUACGUAGAGUGUAAAGGCAAAAGAGAGCUUGAUUGCAAGACAUACAGGUCGAGCAAGGAUGAAAAUCGGACUUAGUGAUCCGGUGGUUCUGCGUGGAAGGGCCAUCGCUCAACGGAUAAAAGCUACCCUGGGGAUAACAGGCUUAUCUCCCCCAAGAGUCCACAUCGACGGGGAGGUUUGGCACCUCGAUGUCGGCUCAUCACAUCCUGGGGCUGUAGUAGGUCCCAAGGGUUGGGCUGUUCGCCCAUUAAAGUGGUACGCGAGCUGGGUUCAGAACGUCGUGAGACAGUUCGGUCCCUAUCCGUCGCAGGCGUAGGAAAUUUGAGAAGACCUGUCCUUAGUACGAGAGGACCGGGAUGGACGUACCUCUGGUGUACCAGUUGUCCUGCCAAGGGCAUGGCUGGGUAGCUAUGUACGGAAUGGAUAAGCGCUGAAAGCAUCUAAGCGCGAAGCCAACUUCAAGAUAAGAUUUCCCACCGCAAGGGUAAGACCCCAGAAAGACUAUCUGGUUGAUAGGUCGAAGGUGUAAGUG